CUUUUUCAGCCAGGCUGUUCAAGAGUUUGGAUAUCCUCUCAGAGUGCGAGCAGAUCAUGGAGGGGAAAAUGUGGGUGUUGCCCGAUUGAUGUUCACCAUGCGCGGACCAGAGAGUGGGUGCUUUAUUGCAGGAAAAAGUGUUCAUAACCAGAGAAUUGAAAGACUUUGGCGCGAUGUCUGGAUGGGGGCCACCAAUGUGUACUACCACAUUUUUCAAAUGCUGGAGGAAGAGGGCCACCUCGACCUGACAAACACCACCCACUUCUUCUGU